GCGGGUGUAGCUCAGCUGGUUAGAUCACCAGAUUGGGGAUCUGGGGGUCGCCGGUUCAAACCCGGUCACUCGCCCCA
rnacentral:tRNA from 1 species